CUCAUACCCGCAGACGAAUUCUCACUUCAGUAUGUAACAAUUGACGAUGCCAUACAAUCCAUCAUCUCAUCUGGUAGUCGCCCCUGGCUCAGCAAAACGGACAUCACAAACGCUUUCAAAUUACUACCCAUGCACCCCUCACUCUGGCACUUGCACGGUGUUAAAUGGCGAGAAAAGUACUACUUCUCCACUCGACUCACUUUCGGUUCUAGAAGCAGCC